AAAAAAAAAAAAAAAAAAAAGCGCAAAGCGCAAAGAGCCUCAACUUCAAUGUCAACAAUUCAACAUUCGAAGAUGUUGAGAUUGAUUUAGACGAAGAUAUUGAUGGAAAUGGUUUUGGAGAUGAGGAUGAAAAUGUUGAGGGCUUGAGGGAAGUCUAAUGAAGAUCUUUAGGUUAUGACUAUAAAUUUGAAUGCUAAAAACUUUGG
rnacentral:misc_RNA from 1 species